UUAAGCGACUAAGCGUACACGGUGGAUGCCCUGGCAGUCAGAGGCGAUGAAGGACGUGCUAAUCUGCGAUAAGCGUCGGUAAGGUGAUAUGAACCGUUAUAACCGGCGAUUUCCGAAUGGGGAAACCCAGUGUGUUUCGACACACUAUCAUUAACUGAAUCCAUAGGUUAAUGAGGCGAACCGGGGGAACUGAAACAUCUAAGUACCCCGAGGAAAAGAAAUCAACCGAGAUUCCCCCAGUAGCGGCGAGCGAACGGGGAGCAGCCCAGAGCCUGAAUCAGUGUGUGUGUUAGUGGAAGCGUCUGGAAAGGCGCGCGAUACAGGGUGACAGCCCCGUACACAAAAAUGCACAUGCUGUGAGCUCGAUGAGUAGGGCGGGACACGUGGUAUCCUGUCUGAAUAUGGGGGGACCAUCCUCCAAGGCUAAAUACUCCUGACUGACCGAUAGUGAACCAGUACCGUGAGGGAAAGGCGAAAAGAACCCCGGCGAGGGGAGUGAAAAAGAACCUGAAACCGUGUACGUACAAGCAGUGGGAGCACAGAGCAAUCUGUGUGACUGCGUACCUUUUGUAUAAUGGGUCAGCGACUUAUAUUCUGUAGCAAGGUUAACCGAAUAGGGGAGCCGAAGGGAAACCGAGUCUUAACCGGGCGUUAAGUUGCAGGGUAUAGACCCGAAACCCGGUGAUCUAGCCAUGGGCAGGUUGAAGGUUGGGUAACACUAACUGGAGGACCGAACCGACUAAUGUUGAAAAAUUAGCGGAUGACUUGUGGCUGGGGGUGAAAGGCCAAUCAAACCGGGAGAUAGCUGGUUCUCCCCGAAAGCUAUUUAGGUAGCGCCUCGUGAAUUCAUCUCCGGGGGUAGAGCACUGUUUCGGCAAGGGGGUCAUCCCGACUUACCAACCCGAUGCAAACUGCGAAUACCGGAGAAUGUUAUCACGGGAGACACACGGCGGGUGCUAACGUCCGUCGUGAAGAGGGAAACAACCCAGACCGCCAGCUAAGGUCCCAAAGUCAUGGUUAAGUGGGAAACGAUGUGGGAAGGCCCAGACAGCCAGGAUGUUGGCUUAGAAGCAGCCAUCAUUUAAAGAAAGCGUAAUAGCUCACUGGUCGAGUCGGCCUGCGCGGAAGAUGUAACGGGGCUAAACCAUGCACCGAAGCUGCGGCAGCGACGCUUAUGCGUUGUUGGGUAGGGGAGCGUUCUGUAAGCCUGCGAAGGUGUGCUGUGAGGCAUGCUGGAGGUAUCAGAAGUGCGAAUGCUGACAUAAGUAACGAUAAAGCGGGUGAAAAGCCCGCUCGCCGGAAGACCAAGGGUUCCUGUCCAACGUUAAUCGGGGCAGGGUGAGUCGACCCCUAAGGCGAGGCCGAAAGGCGUAGUCGAUGGGAAACAGGUUAAUAUCCCUGUACUUGGUGUUACUGCAAGGGGGGACGGAGAAGGCUAUGUUUGGCCGGGCGACGGUUGCCCGGUUUAAGCGUGUAAGGCUGGUUUUCCAGGUCAAAUCCGGAAAAUCAAGGCUGAGGCGUGAUGACGAGGCACUACGGUGCUGAAGCAACAAAUGCCCUGCUUCCAGGAAAAGCCUCUAAGCAUCAGGUAACAUCAAAUCGUACCCCAAACCGACACAGGUGGUCAGGUAGAGAAUACCAAGGCGCUUGAGAGAACUCGGGUGAAGGAACUAGGCAAAAUGGUGCCGUAACUUCGGGAGAAGGCACGCUGAUAUGUAGGUGAAGUCCCUCGCGGAUGGAGCUGAAAUCAGUCGAAGAUACCAGCUGGCUGCAACUGUUUAUUAAAAACACAGCACUGUGCAAACACGAAAGUGGACGUAUACGGUGUGACGCCUGCCCGGUGCCGGAAGGUUAAUUGAUGGGGUUAGCGCAAGCGAAGCUCUUGAUCGAAGCCCCGGUAAACGGCGGCCGUAACUAUAACGGUCCUAAGGUAGCGAAAUUCCUUGUCGGGUAAGUUCCGACCUGCACGAAUGGCGUAAUGAUGGCCAGGCUGUCUCACCCGAGACUCAGUGAAAUUGAACUCGCUGUGAAGAUGCAGUGUACCCGCGGCAAGACGGAAAGACCCCGUGAACCUUUACUAUAGCUUGACACUGAACAUUGAGCCUUGAUGUGUAGGAUAGGUGGGAGGCUUUGAAGUGUGGACGCCAGUCUGCAUGGAGCCGACCUUGAAAUACCACCCUUUAAUGUUUGAUGUUCUAACGUGGACCCGUAAUCCGGGUUGCGGACAGUGUCUGGUGGGUAGUUUGACUGGGGCGGUCUCCUCCUAAAGAGUAACGGAGGAGCACGAAGGUUGGCUAAUCCUGGUCGGACAUCAGGAGGUUAGUGCAAUGGCAUAAGCCAGCUUGACUGCGAGCGUGACGGCGCGAGCAGGUGCGAAAGCAGGUCAUAGUGAUCCGGUGGUUCUGAAUGGAAGGGCCAUCGCUCAACGGAUAAAAGGUACUCCGGGGAUAACAGGCUGAUACCGCCCAAGAGUUCAUAUCGACGGCGGUGUUUGGCACCUCGAUGUCGGCUCAUCACAUCCUGGGGCUGAAGUAGGUCCCAAGGGUAUGGCUGUUCGCCAUUUAAAGUGGUACGCGAGCUGGGUUUAGAACGUCGUGAGACAGUUCGGUCCCUAUCUGCCGUGGGCGCUGGAGAACUGAGGGGGGCUGCUCCUAGUACGAGAGGACCGGAGUGGACGCAUCACUGGUGUUCGGGUUGUCAUGCCAAUGGCACUGCCCGGUAGCUAAAUGCGGAAGAGAUAAGUGCUGAAAGCAUCUAAGCACGAAACUUGCCCCGAGAUGAGUUCUCCCUGACUCCUUGAGAGUCCUGAAGGAACGUUGAAGACGACGACGUUGAUAGGCCGGGUGUGUAAGCGCAGCGAUGCGUUGAGCUAACCGGUACUAAUGAACCGUGAGGCUUAACCUU
rnacentral:rRNA from 1 species